rnacentral:rRNA from 1 species
UUAGAGGGACUAUGCACGUUUAAUUCAUGGAAGUUUGAGGCAAUAACAGGUCUGUGAUGCCCUUAGAUGUUCUGGGCCGCACGCGCGCUACACUGAUAAAGGCAACAAGUUUAUCACCUUGGCCGGAAGGUCUGGGUAAUCUUCUGAAACUUUAUCGUGAUGGGGAUAGUCCUUUGCAAUUAUUGGACUUCAACGAGGAAUUCCUAGUAAGCGUGAGUCAUCAGCUCGCGUUGAUUACGUCCCUGCCCUUUGUACACACCGCCCGUCGCUACUACCGA